rnacentral:tmRNA from 1 species
GGGGGUGAAAGGGUUCGACUUAGGUAAGCUCAAGUAAAAGCAGCAUGCCGCGGACGCAGGGUGGGCCGCGUUAAAAAUCCUUGCACAAUAUAAACGCAAACGAGCGUUUGAUAGAGACUGCUGAAGCAAUCGUUGCUCCUAUCAUGGAAGCUCCUUCAGUCGGUUCAGAGAGCUUGCUCUCUACCGCUGAUGCUUCUUUAGGAAUGGCGGCUGCUCCGGUGGUUUCACCAGUUCUCGCCCACUAAGGUGAGACCACUUGUUCAUCUUGCCUGGCGAUGAAUAAGUGCCGACUACAGGCUAGUCCUGCCAGCGUGCCUUUAGCUGUCGGGAUGAAGCAUUGAAAGGACCGCUCCCGUCAAUCCUGUCUGCCGGAGUGCCGGGGGUUAAAUUAAAAGACAGUCUAAGCAUGUAGUGGCUCUUAUUUAGUUACUUAGGGACGCCGGUUCAAUUCCGGCCACCUCCACCA